CCUUUGUUAUUUUACAAAUUUAACUAAUCUCUUGCAAAAACGUGGAUUUCGGAUUUUUUUUUUUGGCCGGGCAACAAAAUAUGAUAUUAUAAUAUUAAUAUGCAAAAAAAUGGGGUAUAAGAAGUACCCAAAACAAAGUCUGGAAGAGCAGAAAGACGAAGAACAACAGCUUUCUAGAGGUACACAGUGUCAUGCUGCGUAAAGUGCUUUUGUGGAUCACAAUGCUGCACCCUUUUGAUGUUCAACCAAGCAUAGCACCGAUUCCAUAUAGUUGAUGCAAAAGGACAUGUGAACAAAAGGUGUUGAAUCGUUUCCUCCUCCCCAUGGCAGAGAGCACAAGAAUAGUCUUCCGCUUGUAACUUGAUUUGUCUUUUCUUAAGUUUGCCUCUGGUUUGGAUUUUGUCCCGUAUAACUUUCCACACAAAGAUAGACACAUUUGAGGUAAUUGGAAUUUCCCAAAGUCUUGAGCAUAGAGGUAGUUUUUCCAUAUGGAAUUUUCCCUGCAAAAGAGAUAAAUAAGCACUGUUAUUAGUAAAGGAUUUUGGAUGUUGAACACUCGUUUAAGGUGUGUUCGUUAUAGGAAGUGUAGUUUCUCAAUAAAGGAGUUCAUUAUAUCUGGAGAA